rnacentral:lncRNA from 1 species
UCAUAUCUUCAGUGAUUAUAUAUAUAUAUUUUCAUAUAUAUUAUAUAUACAUAUUUUAUAUAUAUACUAUAUAUUUUCAUAUCCUCAGUGAUUUGUUUAACCAGUGAGGAUUUAAGGAUAUGAUUAAGUUGUUACGAUGAGAUAGGGUACGAGGAAAAAUUUCUGUCACUCGUAAAAGUCCAAACUGACCAGCAAGUUUUCAAAAUGCCAUCUUCAAUAUAUCCUGAUUUCUACUUAAUAUUGUCCUUAUUAAUUGACGUAAUGCCAGAUUGUUCAAAUCAGUCCCAUUUCUGCCUACUUGAAAAUUCAUUACAAGACCAAAUUUUGGAGAUGAAAGAAGAUUUUCUUUUUUCAUUGCAUUCAGGACACCGAAUAAUUACUAGAAAUGUAUCCGUCGGAAAACGAAGGAAUUUUUAAUGAAUACUUCUACAGUAUGAGUCAUAAAUUGGCACUUUCCUCUUACAAAGCUAAGCUUGCAUUCUAAUAUAUAACACAUUAUUGAUUGUAUUGUAUGCAUAGUAAAUUAGAGAAGUUCCCAUUAUAUUUCAACAAUCCUGACACGUAUUAUCCCAUCUUCAGCAGCUCUAAACAGUCUUUUUGUCCUGUUCCAACUUUUAUAUCCACUGAUCCUGUUUUCGAUAAUUUGAACAGCAAACGGGACAUUGUUGAUUGAUUACAAUAAAGCUUACUAGCUACAGCACGACUGGAUAGCCUUCCUUACUGAAGGCAACACCUACACUUUUUUCCGAGGGUCAAUUGAACAGUCUUCCUCAUGUCAUCUUAACAGUUCUAAAUAGCAAAUUAAGCAAAUGGGCAUGUGGGCUGGCUUAUACGUUUUAAGGAGGAUGACGCAAUAACUGAUGCUUGUUAACUAUGAACCAAUAGAAUCUCAGGAUGACCAAUGCCACUAGAUUGUUUCAUCUUUUUACUAAGAUUGACAAAACUAAAACUUUCCACGUUUUGUAAGGUGAUGCAAUUUCCAUGAACGCAAC